AAGUUUGCCAUAGUAGAUGUUGAAAAAGUCAAACGGACAGUAUGUAUUUAUGUUAUAACAUUGGGAAUAACUGAUAAGUAAGUAACUGUGUAGCUGGAAAAUUCCCUGGAGGGGAAAAGGACCUACACCAUUGGAAAGAGUUCACGAUCAUUUCUGGGAUUAUUCCAAGCUCCCGCUCAUCUAGACUGGGACGGUUUCUCGAGCAAAAUGUGACAUAUCCUUACCUUCACAUUCUUAAACUUUAAUGGUGAUGUUGCCUCAGUUUCUUCAUUGAACCGUUGAUAUGAACGCGAUCUCCAACGACAUUUGGUAAGCAGACCCAGCGCUGUACGAUGAACCAAAUGUUGGGUUAAGGUGCCUAACUACUCGCUCAUGAAACCCCAUGGAGGACGUUGGUCUCUGCAUACAGACACCAGGACGGUGGCCAUGGAAGUCGAUACCUCGCCAAGUAGUGUGUAACAACUCAUUGACGAAUCGACUGGCCCUGAAAAUGGAUGGCGCUUGAAUUAAAGAUCUUACUUUUUAUCGUUACUGGACAAGAAUCACUUAGGGAGAGUACACCCAUUUUUGCCUA
rnacentral:ncRNA from 1 species